rnacentral:siRNA from 1 species
GGUAGAUACCAAGUGCAUAGUGG